ACGGCAUGCUAGUACGGCGAGUGAGCGGCAACAGCUCAAAUUUGAAAGCUAGCCUUCGGGUUCGCAUUGUAAUUUGUAGAGGAUGAUUUGGGGAAGCCGCCUGUCUAAGUUCCUUGGAACAGGACGUCAUAGAGGGUGAGAAUCCCGUAUGUGACAGGAAAUGGCACCCUAUGUAAAUCUCCUUCGACGAGUCGAGUUGUUUGGGAAUGCAGCUCUAAAUGGGAGGUAAAUUUCUUCUAAAGCUAAAUAUUGGCGAGAGACCGAUAGCGCACAAGUAGAGUGAUCGAAAGAUGAAAAGCACUUUGGAAAGAGAGUUAAAAAGCACGUGAAAUUGUUGAAAGGGAAGCGCUUGCAAUCAGACUUGUUUAAACUGUUCGGCCGGUCUUCUGACCGGUUUACUCAGUUUGGACAGGCCAGCAUCAGUUUCGGCGGCCGGAUAAAGGCUCUGGGAAUGUGGCCUCCACUUCGGUGGAGGUGUUAUAGCCCAGGGUGUAAUACGGCCAGCCGGGACUGAGGUCCGCGCUUCGGCUAGGAUGCUGGCGUAAUGGUUGUAAGCGACCCGUCUUGAACCCCCGGAACCAAAUCU
rnacentral:rRNA from 1 species